GGAUGUGAGGGUGAUCUGGGUGUGACAUCUGUCACUCCAGGGUCACUAGGGUUGAUUCAGCUGAUCUGGCUGGCUAGGUUUGUCCCCUUCCUCCCUCACCACUCCAUGUGUGUCCCUUCCAAAGCUGUGCACUCCGCUGAAGUGGACAGCCUUCCCCAAACAGAGGAGGACCGGUCUUUGGUCAAGUGUAUACAAGUAGCUGUGCUCCCUUCUAGAACCUCCAACAAGCUGUCAAGAAAGAAUUCUUUGGUCAUACAAAGAUUAAGCAUUGCUUAUGACGUUC
rnacentral:snRNA from 1 species